CCUACGGGAGGCAGCAGUGAGGAAUAUUGGUCAAUGGACGAGAGUCUGAACCAGCCAAGUAGCGUGAAGGAUGACUGCCCUAUGGGUUGUAAACUUCUUUUAUAAAGGAAUAAAGUGAGGCACGUGUGCCUUUUUGUAUGUACUUUAUGAAUAAGGAUCGGCUAACUCCGUGCCAGCAGCCGCGGUAAUACGGAGGAUCCGAGCGUUAUCCGUAUUUAUUGGGUUUAAAGGGAGCGUAGAUGGGUUGUUAAGUCAGUUGUGAAAGUUUGCGGCUCAACCGUAAAAUUGCAAUUGAUACUGGCAGUCUUGAGUACAGUUGAGGUGGGCGGAAUUCGUGGUGUAGCGGUGAAAUGCUUAGAUAUCACGAAGAACUCCGAUUGCGAAGGCAGUUCACUAAACUGCCACUGACACUGAGGCUCGAAAGUGUGGGUAUCAAACAGGAUUAGAUACCCUAGUAGUC
rnacentral:rRNA from 1 species